rnacentral:rRNA from 1 species
UACAGAGGUCUCAAGCGUUGUUCGGAUUCAUUGGGCGUAAAGGGUGCGUAGGUGGCGAGGUAAGUCAGGUGUGAAAUCUCGGGGCUCAACCUCGAAACUGCACUUGAUACUGCCUUGCUUGAGUACUGGAGAGGAGAUUGGAAUUUACGGUGUAGCAGUGAAAUGCGUAGAUAUCGUAAGGAAGACCAGUGGCGAAGGCGAAUCUCUGGACAGUUACUGACACUGAGGCACGAAGGCCAGGGGAGCAAACGGGAUUAGAUACCCCGGUAGUCCUGGCAGUAAACGGUGCGCGUUUGGUGUGGGAGGAUUCGACCCCUUCCGUGCCGGAGCUAACGCGUUAAACGCGCCGCCUGGGGAGUACGGUCGCAAGAUUA